rnacentral:rRNA from 1 species
UGCAGUCGAGCGAGAAAGCCCUUCGGGGUGAGUACAGCGGCGGACGGGUGAGUAACGCGUAGGAAUCUACCUAGUAGUGGGGGACAACUCGUGGAAACGCGAGCUAAUACCGCAUACGCCCUACGGGGGAAAGCGGGGGAUCUUCGGACCUCGUGCUAUUAGAUGAGCCUGCGUAAGAUUAGCUAGUUGGUGGGGUAAUGGCCUACCAAGGCGACGAUCUUUAGCUGGUCUGAGAGGAUGAUCAGCCACACCGGGACUGAGACACGGCCCGGACUCCUACGGGAGGCAGCAGUCGGGAAUAUUGCGCAAUGGGCGAAAGCCUGACGCAGCCAUGCCGCGUGUGUGAAGAAGGCCUUAGGGUUGUAAAGCACUUUCAAUUGGGAGGAAAAGCUAAUGGUUAAUAGCCAUUAGCCCUGACGUUACCUUUAGAAGAAGCACCGGCUAACUCCGUGCCAGCAGCCGCGGUAAUACGGAGGGUGCAAGCGUUAAUCGGAAUUACUGGGCGUAAAGCGCGCGUAGGCGGUUUUUUAACUCGGAUGUGAAAGCCCCGGGCUCAACCUGGGAAUUGCAUCCGAUACUGGAUGACUAGAAUGCGGGAGAGGGAGGUAGAAUUCCAUGUGUAGCAGUGAAAUGCGUAGAUAUAUGGAGGAAUACCAGUGGCGAAGGCGGCCUCCUGGCUCGACAUUGACGCUGAGGUGCGAAAGCGUGGGGAGCAAACGGGAUUAGAUACCCCGGUAGUCCACGCCGUAAACGAUGUCUACUAGCUGUAGGGGUACUUGAGACCUUUGUAGCGCAGCUAACGCAAUAAGUAGACCGCCUGGGGAGUACGGCCGCAAGGUUAAAACUCAAAUGAAUUGACGGGGGCCCGCACAAGCAGUGGAGCAUGUGGUUUAAUUCGAUGCAACGCGAAGAACCUUACCAGGCCUUGACAUCCCCGGAACUUUCUAGAGAUAGAUUGGUGCCUUCGGGAACCGGGUGACAGUGCUGCAUGGCUGUCGUCAGCUC